GAGGAUAUAGCUCAGUGGUAGAGCACAUGCUUGUCAUGCACAAGGUCCUGGGUUCAUUCCCCGGUACCUCCG
rnacentral:tRNA from 1 species